rnacentral:rRNA from 1 species
GACGAACGCUGGCGGCGUGCUUAACACAUGCAAGUCGAACGGUGAAGCGCCUUCCUUUUUGGUGGGUGUGGAUGAGUGGCGAACGGGUGAGUAACACGUGAGUAACCUGCCCCCUUCUUCUGGAUAACCGCAUGAAAGUGUGGCUAAUACGGGAUAUUCUGGGUCUGUCGCAUGAUGGGUCUGGGAAAGAUAUUGUUUCGGUGGGGGAUGGGCUCGCGGCCUAUCAGCUUGUUGGUGGGGUGAUGGCCUACCAAGGCGGUGACGGGUAGCCGGCCUGAGGGGGUGGACGGUCACACUGGGACUGGGACACGGCCCAGACUCCUACGGGAGGCAGCAGUGGGGAAUAUUGCACAAUGGGCGCAAGCCUGAUGCAGCGACGCCGCGUGAGGGAUGGAGGCCUUCGGGUUGUGAACCUCUUUCGCCAGUGAAGCAGGCCUGCCUCGUUUGUGGGUGGGUUGACGGUAGCUGGAUAAGAAGCGCCGGCUAACUACGUG